ACAAAAAUGCACAUGCUGUGAGCUCGAUGAGUAGGGCGGGACACGUGGUAUCCUGUCUGAAUAUGGGGGGACCAUCCUCCAAGGCUAAAUACUCCUGACUGACCGAUAGUGAACCAGUACCGUGAGGGAAAGGCGAAAAGAACCCCGGCGAGGGGAGUGAAAAAGAACCUGAAACCGUGUACGUACAAGCAGUGGGAGCACGCUUAGGCGUGUGACUGCGUACCUUUUGUAUAAUGGGUCAGCGACUUAUAUUCUGUAGCAAGGUUAACCGAAUAGGGGAGCCGAAGGGAAACCGAGUCUUAACUGGGCGUUAAGUUGCAGGGUAUAGACCCGAAACCCGGUGAUCUAGCCAUGGGCAGGUUGAAGGUUGGGUAACACUAACUGGAGGACCGAACCGACUAAUGUUGAAAAAUUAGCGGAUGACUUGUGGCUGGGGGUGAAAGGCCAAUCAAACCGGGAGAUAGCUGGUUCUCCCCGAAAGCUAUUUAGGUAGCGCCUCGUGAAUUCAUCUCCGGGGGUAGAGCACUGUUUCGGCAAGGGGGUCAUCCCGACUUACCAACCCGAUGCAAACUGCGAAUACCGGAGAAUGUUAUCACGGGAGACACACGGCGGGUGCUAACGUCCGUCGUGAAGAGGGAAACAACCCAGACCGCCAGCUAAGGUCCCAAAGUCAUGGUUAAGUGGGAAACGAUGUGGGAAGGCCCAGACAGCCAGGAUGUUGGCUUAGAAGCAGCCAUCAUUUAAAGAAAGCGUAAUAGCUCACUGGUCGAGUCGGCCUGCGCGGAAGAUGUAACGGGGCUAAACCAUGCACCGAAGCUGCGGCAGCGACGCUUAUGCGUUGUUGGGUAGGGGAGCGUUCUGUAAGCCUGCGAAGGUGUGCUGUGAGGCAUGCUGGAGGUAUCAGAAGUGCGAAUGCUGAC
rnacentral:rRNA from 1 species